GGAGAGGUGGCAGAGUCCGGUUUAAUGCGGCGGUCUUGAAAACCGUUGUGGGGUUAAACCCACCGGGGGUUCGAAUCCCUCCCUCUCCGCCA
rnacentral:tRNA from 1 species